rnacentral:rRNA from 1 species
GAUGAACGCUGACGGAGUGCCUAACACAUGCAAGUCGCUUGAAUUUGGGGUUUUAACUUAAGUUUGGGUGGCGGACGGGCGAGUGACGCGCACAGAACUUGCCUGACUCUUAGGGAGGGAUUUGGAAGCGAAUGCUAAUACCUAACAUUAUGAAGACGGGGCAUCCUGUUAUUAUGAAAGCUGGUGCCGCUGCGAGAGAGCUAUGCGUCCCUGUAUCUAGUUGGAGAGGUGACGGCUCACCGGGGCGACGAUGGGUAGACGGCCUGAGAGGGUGAUCGGCCACACGGGGACUGAGACACGGACCUUACUCCUACAGUAGGCAGCAAGGGGGAAUUUUGGACUAUGGACCAAGGGUCUGAUCCAGGACUUCUGUGUGCACCAUGAAUUUUUUCGGAUUGUGAAUUGCUUUCCUUUGGGAAGAAAGAAGUGACAGUGCCAAAGUAAUAAGUGACGGCUGAAUACGUGCCAUACGCCGCGGGGAUACGUAAGUACCGACCGUGAUCCGGAUUUAUUGGUCGUUACGCGCGUCUAGGUGGAUAUAUAGGUCUGAUAUUAAAAUGCCAGGGCUCAAAUCUGUAUUGCGUUGAAUGCUGUGUAACUACAGUACUGGGGUUGGUGAAACCGAUAUACUUGGGUUGAAGUGAAAUUCUGAGAAAUUUGUUGUAUGCCGAUUAUAUGUCUGUUUACUGGACAGAUUCUGAUGCGAAGCGUGUAUGUGUUGUUCACUAUUGAAUAUAUUCCCUUGCGUGUUCUGGAUCAAUUUCUCAUUGCUAUUAUGUCUUUCGUGUCUGUCUCUUCGUGUUGGGCCUGUUACCCAUGUCUACUUCUCUUUUUGAUUGUUAAUAUCUCUUUUCCUUAUGUUUU